CUGCCUCUACUACCUCACAUAGAUCGACUCAAAGCUCCAGCUCUUCCUGUUUGUCACCUCUACACGCUCCUCCAGAUACUUUCUGCAUCUACACCACUACCUCCCAAUUCUGCCUCCAAAAGGAAGGCCUACAAAACAAAAAGUUGCCACUCCUAUUUCCAGAGCAUUUUAUCUCAGCUUUGAAAGAGACUAUGGCCUGUAUUUGGAUGUGAGAGAUUACCACCCUGGAAUUUGAAGAAAGGAUUAACCUAAAUAGGAGACAGAAAAUAGUUGAGUGAUUCACACAGAAAUGUGGUUCUGAAGAGCAGACAUUUGGAGAGCUCUCACCAGGCAAUGAGGAACAUCGGUGACCGACCAAGGUCUUAAUCCAAGAAAAUAUCUGCACCAGACUGCUGAGUUCCA
rnacentral:lncRNA from 1 species